rnacentral:rRNA from 1 species
UACAGUUUGAUCCUGGCUCAGAUUGGACGCUGGCGGCAGGCUUAACACAUGCAAGUCGAGCGGAGUAUUGGUGCUUGCACUAAUACUUACCGGCGGACGGGUGAGUAAUGCUUAGGAAUCUGCCUAUUAGUGGGGGACAACAUCUCGAAAGGGAUGCUAAUACCGCAUACGCCCUACGGGGGAAAGCAGGGGAUCUUCGGACCUUGCGCUAAUAGAUGAGCCUAAGUCGGAUUAGCUAGUUGGUGGGGUAAAGGCCUACCAAGGCGACGAUCUGUAGCGGGUCUGAGAGGAUGAUCCGCCACACUGGGACUGAGACACGGCCCAGACUCCUACGGGAGGCAGCAGUGGGGAAUAUUGGACAAUGGGGGGAACCCUGAUCCAGCCAUGCCGCGUGUGUGAAGAAGGCCUUUUGGUUGUAAAGCACUUUAAGCGAGGAGGAGGCUACUCUAGUUAAUACCUAGGGAUAGUGGACGUUACUCGCAGAAUAAGCACCGGCUAACUCUGUGCCAGCAGCCGCGGUAAUACAGAGGGUGCGAGCGUUAAUCGGAUUUACUGGGCGUAAAGCGUGCGUAGGCGGCUUUUUAGUCGGAUGUGAAAUCCCUGAGCUUAACUUAGGAAUUGCAUUCGAUACUGGGAAGCUAGA